AGAGUUUGAUCCUGGCUCAGGAUGGACGCUGGCGGCAUGCCUAAUACAUGCAAGUCGAACGGAAUCUUAUAUGUUCCUCGUUUCGGAUUUAGUUCCGAGUUGGGGAACAAUAAGAUUUAGUGGCGGACGGUGAGUAACACGUUGGUACCUACCCUCUAGUGGGGAAUAACUUCGAGAAAUCGAGGCUAAUACCGCAUAAUAUCUACGGAUUAAAGCAUUUAUGCGCUAGAGGAGGGGCCUGCGUCUGAUUAGCUUGUUGGUGAGGUAAAAGCUCACCAAGGCGACGAUCAGUAGCUGGAUCGAGAGGUUGACCAGCCACACUGGGACUGAGAUACGGCCCAGACUCCUACGGGAGGCAGCAGUAAGGAAUCUUCCACAAUGGGCGAAAGCCUGAUGGAGCAAUGCCGCGUGCAGGAUGACGGCCUUCGGGUUGUAAACUGCUUUUAUAUGGGAAGAUUAUGACGGUACCAUAUGAAUAAGGACCGGCUAACUACGUG
rnacentral:rRNA from 1 species